rnacentral:rRNA from 1 species
ACGGAAGGCAGCAGUGAGGAAUAUUGGUCAAUGGACGGAAGUCUGAACCAGCCAAGUCGCGUGAAGGAUGAAGGUAUUAUGUAUUGUAAACUUCUUUAGCAGUGGAGUAAUAAGGUGGUCGAGACCACUGAUGCAAGUACACUGAGAAUAAGGAUCGGCUAACUCCGUGCCAGCAGCCGCGGUAAUACGGAGGCUCCGAGCGUUAUCCGGAUUUAUUGGGUUUAAAGGGUGCGCAGGCGGCUUUUUAAGUCAGUGGUUAAAUCGUGACGCUCAACGUCAUCACGCCAUUGAUACUGGAGAGCUUGAUUGCGGUCGAGGUUUGCGGAAUUCGUUGUGUAGCGGUGAAAUGCAUAGAUAUGACGAAGAACACCGAUUGCGUAGGCAGCAGACCAGGCCGUAAAUGACGCUCAUGCACGAAAGUGCGGGGAUCGAACAGGAUUAGAUACCCUGGUA